rnacentral:lncRNA from 1 species
AUUUAGAAAUUAAUCCCUAAUGACACAUACCUCAAAUUCUCAACUCCUUCAGAAUAUGUGUCAUCAUCUUAUUAAUUUUUUGGACGAUUCAUGGACACAUACGAACAUGAAUGAAUAAUAAUGUCCAAUCUUAUUAAUAAAUAAUAAGGGCCAAGUACAAAUUUAUAUCCUAUAUUAUAAAUAUGUGUCAGCCAUAUUGGUUUCUAGGGCAUACUUCUAACAAUCUUCCACUUGCACUAAAG